rfam:Providencia sneebia DSM 19967 chromosome, whole genome shotgun sequence.
UAAGAGACCGUAACAAUGAUUAAAUUCAUCCGCCUACUAAGCCUACUACUACUCGCAUCCAAUAUGCGCGGUAUGCUUAUGGACGGAAGAUAACGAGUUACAGUCCAGAAGAUAAAAACCCGCGCUAGCCGCGGGUUUUUUU